rnacentral:rRNA from 1 species
GGGGGGUGCGAGCGUUGUCCGGAAUCACUGGGCGUGAAGGGCGCGUAGGUGGUUUGAUAAGGGCGUGGUGAAAGUCCGGGGCUCAACCCCGGAUCUGCCGUGCCGACUGUCAAACUCGAGGACUGUAGAGGCAGACGGAAUUCCGGGUGUAGCGGUGGAAUGCGUAGAGAUCCGGAGGAAGACCGGUGGCGAAGGCGGUCUGCUGGGCAGUUUCUGACACUGAGGCGCGACAGCGUGGGGAGCAAACAGGAUUAGAUAUCCUGGUAGUCCACGCCGUAAACGAUGGGUACUAGGUGCCUGGGGGAGCGACCCUCUGGGUGCCGGCGCUAACGCAGGAAGUACCCCGCCUGGGGAGUACGACCGCAAGGUUG